GCAAAGGUGUUAUGGUCUGAAUUGUGUUCCCCCCAAAAUCCAUAUGUUGAAGUUCCAACUCCCAGUACCUUAAAAUAUGACCAUAUUUGGAGAUAGGGCCUCAAAGGAGGUGAUGAAGUUAAAGUGAGGUCAUUGAGGGGUCACCAUAAUUCAUUAUGACUGGUGUCCUUUUAGGAAGAGGAGAUUAGGACACAGACACACACAGAGGGAAGACCAUGUGAAGACACAGAGGGAAGAUGGCCAUGGAAAAGCUAGAGAGAGAGAGUUCUCAGAAGAAGUAACUCUGCCAACAGCUUGAUCUCAGAUUUCUAGCCUCCAAAGAAGAGUGUGAAGAGUGAACACAAGCAGAGAAAAUGUACAUUAAGUCACUGAUUUGACAACAUCUAGGAGCCAGCGCAAGCCAGUGUGAGUAGCAGUCUCAGUCUCCCUUUAGUGCCAAGCAGAAGAUUACUCAUGGAGAUAGAGUGGAGCACCUGGGAGAAAUGGAUUCUGAGGAAACAGAAGCAUCGCCUUGAUAUUAUUCCCUUGAGUGUGAUUGUAGACCAUGAACUCUUGCAAUACAGCACUUCUCCUGAGGCAGGGGGCCAAGAAGCUACAUCUGAGAUGUUGCAAAGACUCCUGAUGCAAUUACUGUUUGGAUAAAUGCUACAUUACUUCAUUUGUGUACUUUAAGUAAACUGGAUCUAUUCGG